AUAUCUCUCUGUACGGGAAGGAUGAGAAGCUUCGACUAAGGUUCGAUUCGAGCGAAAGCGAGAAAGCGUUGCCGCAGGCAACGACCCG
rnacentral:sRNA from 1 species